CACCCCUCGGAGGGCUUUGCCCCACACUUCCCCGUGCCGCCCCCCGCCCAGCGCAGCGCCUGGGUGACGGGGUCAGGCGUGGCGGGAGAGGGGGAGCGGGAGGUGAAGGUGAAGAGCAGCAGCGGGCUCGGGGCUGGCUGCGGCUGCUCUCUGGGCUGUGCGGCUGUGCCCAGAGGGCGGAGUUCCCGCACGCUGCUGCCUCACCGGAGAACCUGCCCUCGGCGCAGCGCUCCGCAGCCGGGACCCCACCGCCGCCGCCCGCCCCGCACCGCUCUGUGUGGCCCCGUUUCCCCCUGGGCUCGGGGAGCCGGGAGGUGGCGGAGUGGCGCUGCCCCCCUUCCUCGCCCUCGGCUGGGGUUCCCCAGCACCUCUCACACCGCAAAGCGUGUGUCUAACGCCAGGAUUUUUUUUAUUAUUAUUUUUAAAUUUCUGGUCUCUCUUCGAACCGUUUCCUCCCCCCGCCUCCCCUCCCCCUCGCUCCCAUCGGAACCACCACCAGCCCGGGGCGGGGCUGUGUCCGCUUUCGGAGCCUUCGGAGAAGAUGCGAGAGGCGCGGGGAAGGGCGCUCCGUCGGCUUCGAUCACUGGAGGCAAACAUCGAAUUAAUUGGAUCUUGGUGGCUGAGGCUGGUAACAGUGUAUUGAACGGAGUUAUCUGCCACAAUGCCCAGGUGUCUGCCAGAAUGUCAGGACAUUCUAGACCAGAUCUCUCCUCCUGUCUGCCGGGAGGGCUGAACUGUAAAUCUGUCUCGAGUGAUGCACCCUACACCGUGGGUAGGUGCGUCAUUUCGGAGCCGGAGAGAGAUGGGAGCUUAUCCGAGGAGCUUUCAGACACCUCCGUGGGAUGGGUCGUUAGGGAGUGCCGGAAUCCACAGGAAAUUGCAGAUCUAACAUGUGAGGAACAUAAAGCCCUGCUCUCUGACAGUGGGAACGCAAAUACACAGACACGCGGGACUGAGCCUGGUACUUGCUGA
rnacentral:lncRNA from 1 species